AAAGAAAUGACAGAUUCAGAGAUGCCUCACAAUCCAAAGAGCUUUUCAUUUAUGCCUUGAAAUUGUAUCUCGUUCAUUCGCUCAGUUUGGCAUGAGCAUUAAGAAUUCCAAACAAAAAAAUCUGGAAUGCUGUUAUGGAAUUUUUGCUAUAGAGUAGCCAAAUAUCUGGCCAGAUCUACCAAACACUUGUCCGAAACUCCUAGGCCAAAGUCGC